CAUUAUUGAUUUUGAUUUGUUACCUUCUGUGCUGGCUCCGGCAUGUGCACGUUGGUGACUUUCAUCCAAUACCCUUAUGUGAACCUUUGGCCUCUUGCCGGCUUUGGCUGGCAGAGGAUUUACACAAACUUGAAUGUAACAGAAAGACCUUGUUGUGCGCAAGCACUAAUGUACAACUUUCAACAACGGAUCUCUUGGCUCUCGCAUCGAUGAAGAACGCAGCGAAAUGCGAUAAGUAAUGUGAAUUGCAGAAUUCAGUGAAUCAUCGAAUCUUUGAACGCACCUUGCACCCAUUGGUAUUCCAAAGGUAUGCUCGUUUGAGUGUCAUUGUACUCUCACACUCUAAUUUGGAGAAGUGGACUUGGGUGUUGCUGCUUUGCGGUGGCUCAUCUUAAAUAUGCUAGUGCAACUCAUGGUUGGAUAUAGUACAGCGUGAUAAGUAUCUUCGCUGGCGCCUUGUGAAGAGGGUAUCUGAUUGGGAGCUCUGUGCUUCUAACAGUCCUAUCUGGGACAAUGUCUGACAACUUG
rnacentral:rRNA from 1 species